rnacentral:rRNA from 1 species
AGAGUUUGAUCAUGGCUCAGAUUGAACGCUGGCGGCAGGCCUAACACAUGCAAGUCGAGCGGUAGAGAGAAGCUUGCUUCUCUUGAGAGCGGCGGACGGGUGAGUAAUGCCUAGGAAUCUGCCUGGUAGUGGGGGAUAACGUUCGGAAACGGACGCUAAUACCGCAUACGUCCUACGGGAGAAAGCAGGGGACCUUCGGGCCUUGCGCUAUCAGAUGAGCCUAGGUCGGAUUAGCUAGUUGGUGGGGUAAUGGCUCACCAAGGCGACGAUCCGUAACUGGUCUGAGAGGAUGAUCAGUCACAUUGGGACUGAGACACGGCCCAAACUCCUACGGGAGGCAGCAGUGGGGAAUAUUGGACAAUGGGCGCAAGCCUGAUCCAGCCAUGCCGCGUGAGUGAUGAAGGCCCUAGGGUUGUAAAGCUCUUUUGUGCGGGAAGAUAAUGACGGUACCGCAAGAAUAAGCCCCGGCUAACUUCGUGCCAGCAGCCGCGGUAAU